rnacentral:rRNA from 1 species
AGGACGAACGCUGGCGGCGUGCUUAACACAUGCAAGUCGAACGAUGAACCGGAGCUUGCUCCGGGGAUUAGUGGCGAACGGGUGAGUAACACGUGGGCAACCUGCCCCAGACACCGGGAUAACCUUCCGAAAGGAUGGCUAAUACCGGAUACGACCACUUCGGGCAUCCGACGGUGGUGGAAAGGAUUCUGGUCUGGGAUGGGCCCGCGGCCUAUCAGCUUGUUGGUGGGGUAAUGGCCUACCAAGGCGACGACGGGUAGCCGGCCUGAGAGGGCGACCGGCCACACUGGGACUGAGACACGGCCCAGACUCCUACGGGAGGCAGCAGUGGGGAAUAUUGCGCAAUGGGCGAAAGCCUGACGCAGCGACGCCGCGUGAGGGACGAAGGUCUUCGGAUUGUAAACCUCUUUCAGCAGGGACGAAGCGAAAGUGACUGUACCUGCAGAAGAAGCACCGGCCAACUACGUG